rnacentral:ncRNA from 2 species
ACUUCCGAGGAGCGCUGCGAGGCUGCGAUCUACCGAUCGCCCCCAGGCUCGGAUUUCCUGCGACGGCCCACACGGCUGGCGCUUCAACGGCGCUCAUCUUUC